CUCCCGACUGUUUACCAAAAACACAGCACUCUGCUAACUCGUAAGAGGAUGUAUAGGGUGUGACGCCUGCCCGGUGCUCGAAGGUUAAUUGAUGGGGUUAGCAUUAGCGAAGCUCUUGAUCGAAGCCCGAGUAAACGGCGGCCGUAACUAUAACGGUCCUAAGGUAGCGAAAUUCCUUGUCGGUUAAAUACCGACCUGCAUGAAUGGCGUAACGAGAUGGGAGCUGUCUCAAAGAGGGAUCCAGUGAAAUUGUAGUGGAGGUGAAAAUUCC
rnacentral:rRNA from 2 species